UCUAAACGUUUGACCGUCCGUCUUAUUUGAGAAAAUUAUGAAAAAAAUUAAAAAGAUAAGUCACGCAUAAAGUAUUAAUCAUAUUUUAUCAUCUAACAACAAUGAAAAUACUAAUUAUAAAAAAAUUCAUAUAAGAUGGACAGUCAAACGUUAGAUACGGAAACCCAU
rnacentral:pre_miRNA from 1 species